rnacentral:rRNA from 1 species
AUAUCAGUCAUGCAUAGCAUAUCAAUAAGCGGAGGAAAAGAAACUAACAAGGAUUCCCUUAGUAACGGCGAGUGAAGCGGGAAGAGCUCAAAUUUGAAAUCUUCAAGGUUUUACCUUGACGAAUUGUAGUUUAAAGAAGUGUUUUUCUGUUGAAGUUUUGGUAAAAGUUCUUUGGAAUAGGACAUCAUAGAGGGUGAGAAUCCCGUAUUUGACCAUUACUUUCAGCUUUGUGAUACACUUUCAAAGAGUCGGAUUGUUUGGGAAUGCAGUCCAAAAUGGGUGGUAAAUUUCAUCUAAAGCUAAAUAUUGGCGAGAGACCGAUAGCGAACAAGUACCGUGAGGGAAAGAUGAAAAGAACUUUGAAAAGAGAGUUAAACAGUACGUGAAAUUGUCAAAAGGGGAAGCGUUUGACACCAGUGUUGUUUUCUCGAAAAUCAAUUAAAAAGAGUUGGAUUUUGUGUUGUAUUGACUUUAUCAGCUUUCUUCACUCUUUUCCAGCUUUUUUUAAUGCACUUUUCGUUUAACAAGUCAACAUCAGUUUCUUUUGUUGUAAAAAGGUCAUUGGAAGGUGGCUUUCUCUUCGGAGAAAGUGUUUAUAGCCUUUGACUCAUGCAAUCGGAGAGACUGAGGUCUGCAGCGUAGAUCCUUCGGGGUUAGAUACAUUUGUGCUAAGUUAUAGCUUUUCAUAGACAACUUGUUGACUAUGUUUAGUCUUGUAGCUUACUCGCUUAUGCUAUUUUACCUACGCUUAGGAUGUUGAACUCUAUCACACACA